rnacentral:tRNA from 1 species
CGGGGAGUAGCGCAGCCUGGUAGCGCACCUGCCUUGGGAGCAGGGGGUCGCAGGUUCAAAUCCUGUCUCCCCGACCA